GAAACAGCGUGGGCACAGCGCCUCAGUCACACCUGCGCGGCUGAGGCGGCCGCGCCUCGCCUCAGAAUUAACCCGAGGCAUCCCGAAAGAUCUUUGCCUUCUUCUUGGAAUUAUCUCUGUAAGCUCCACCUGAGCUGCCCCUUUGCAGGUUUGGCUCUCGGGUGCUUCUCAGGAACCACCUUUUCAAGCUGGUGUUUGGAGUCUCUCUGUUCCUGAGUACUUUUCUUAGGUGAGAAUGUGCCAAGAGUGCACAAAGUGUUCCCGGAAUAACCACGCCAGAGCCAUUGCUGCUUGCUCCCUGCCCACAGGCACCCGGAUGCAUCAUGCUAUUUCAGUGUCAGAGCUCGCAAGACUCUUGUUGAAUUUGUGGGGCCCAGCAGAGUGUAGCAACCCUCAUCCUGGCGAGUGCAUGGUGUAAAUACAGUGAUUCAAGUCAGGCAUGUGUGGUCAGGCCAGGGUGGUUCACAGGGACAGUGAAUGUAGAACUAGUUUUGACUAAUUUCUUUCAAGAACCAUAGAAGACAUAAGUGUGAGCAAAGGAUGUGGAUGUGCAGGGAGGUACUGGUUAAAUUCCAGCAUGGGACCAGUACUAGGCACUGCAUGAACUGUGGGUAGGCUGGUGAGCAGGAAAGCAGAGAAGGAUGGUAGGCCAAAUUGCAGAAGGGUGGAGUCAUGUGAUGCCUUGUGGUCAAAGAAGGGUUUCAAGACUCAUGAGUCAAAGGGAGAGGAACUGGGGAGAAUAAAACAGAAGAGAUGUUGCAGUUGGGUCAGAAGCCUAAAUAUAGCAGCCACAUUGGAAGGAUAUGAGUGUCCCAUUCCUGGGCAUCAUUGUUCUCUGUCAGUGACUGGGUGAAGUGCAGCCUGUUACACACUCUUCAGCCUUCCUGGCAUGGCACUGUUUCCUGUCUGCAUUUCCAUUUUCUCCAAAUCCAAAGGAGAAAGAAUGGAAAUGCUUUCCCUGUUUGGUGUUUGCUAUGACCAUUUUUCAGGAUUGUGCAUUCAUCCCUGGAAUGCUCAUGGAUUGCAGAGUAGGCAGGGCAGGGAGUGUUACUGCUCUUUAUGAAGUUUCCAUUUGUGUUCCAUCCCUGCUUGUAGCCUGCAUUGUGUGAGUAACUUUUGGGGGAGUUCAGCAUGAGCUGAGUAGGAGUGUGUCAGAGAUCUGCAGUGAUUUUUAAAAUAAACUUCCUUAUGCCAGUUCUUACCUGGCCUGCUGAAAAAUUUUGUUGACUUGUUCCAUGAGAAAACAAUUUGAGGAGGAAUUCUUCCCAAGAGUUCAAUAAUACGAGCAACAUGAUCUAGAUAGAGGGAGGGAAGACAAAUUUAGAUACAGACUGUGACACUUCUGUCAGUGAAAUGAAUAAAACUCAUGGAGUCCUACCAUCAUCUCUGGAGAAAUAUUUCCCAGGUUGAGGAUCAAAUAGACGCUCUCCAGUUGCCAUUUCAAAUGCCUAGAAAUGGAGUAGCACUGUUAAUUCACUGAUUGUCUUGGAGUUUUCCUUGCCCGCUAACUGAUACUGCCCUCUUUAUCACACAAAACUGGUCCUAAAAUGUGGAAAUACUCACACUGGCUUGAUCUGUACCGCAGUGAAACAACACCUUUAUCUCCAUCAGGAUGAAAAGCAGCAUGUGCCUGAUGCAGGCAAGCCUCUGAGCUAAUCUACAUGGAGUGUGAAUUGCCUUAGAGCUUAAACUAAAUUAGGACUGGGUCGUACCAGCAGCAGACUUUUGCCCUAAAGUGAACGAGUUCCAACAGCCCCUUUUGCCUUCUUGAAAGGAAGCUUUCUUUACAGGGAUGCUCAGGACAUGCUGCCCCGGCCAGCUAAGGCCUGUCCCCUCCCCAGUGCUGUCCCCAGCCCUACCAGGCACGCUGUACUCCAGAUAUCCGCAGGAGUGCCGUAGUCUAAUCCAAGGAGCACUUCCAGGGCCCGGUACGGCUGCGUCUGUAUCUCCUUGGAAAAGGGCUUGUACUAAAACAGAAACAAACUCCUUUAAAAACUCCUUAAACAGCCACAGCAGCACUGGUGGUUCACAAGCUUCUUGUGUGGUGACAGGACAUUGGGGACACAAAUGGAUGUGUGUUCUCAGCUCUGUGCAGGGCACAGCCAGCACAUUCCUGCCCCACUGACACCAGUGGGAAUCCACCUCUCACCAUUUCACACUGAACAUAGUUUUAAAUUUCUCAUCGUAGGGACUAACUGCAAGCUGGAGAAAUGUCCAAAACUGACAGUGGCUCAGGAAGACCGUGCGCAUCUUGGAGCUGAGAGUGGCAAACAUAAAACCCCCCAAUAUUGGCAUCUCUGAAAUAGCUGUUCAGCUGUAAAGGGACAGACAGACACAGUGUGGGAUGGAAAGGAGCACACAACAUCACACAUUGUCACGGGAUUGAGACUUGGAGCAGACUCACUGUCCAGCAUGCACUUCCUAGAUCUGCAAUUUUCACCUCUAUGCUCAUUAAAUCGGAUUCUUCCAACUGAUUGCCAAGAUCACCUCCUAGAUGGGAAGGACAAAGAGAAAUCAGGUCUUUCUGAACCAGCAGGUACACACCACUUACCACAGGAGAGGUAUGUCUGCCUUCCCUUAAAGUUUCUUGGCCUAAAAGCUCCUAAAUACUUUUUAUCAUAAAUCAAAUGCCACGCCUCUUUUUUUAAGGAACACAAAACAAGACCUGGUAUCCAGUAAAACAUGAGAGAAUGGGAGAACAGUAGCUUGGAGUGGAACAGUGUGACCAUAGGCUCCUGUCCUGCUGCAAGGUUAAAUUACUGUGGGCCCAGAGGAGAGCACCAGUCAGAACCCAAGCAUCUGUAAUUCCCCCUCAGCCUUCAGCAACCCUGGCUGUCACAGACCUUGGAUACAGCCUGCUUGGCCAGCAACAUGGACCUUAUGCUUCCAUGUGAUCCCAGGAAAAGGUGUUGGUGGAGCUUCUUUACAGAAAGGAGAGACUACUACAGAAAACAGGAUGAAGGAGGAGCAAUUUUCUUUCUUAGUAUCCCUAGAAGGGCACAGGAAUCAUGGUAGCAAAUCUUCAUCUUGGCAAGUGUGCAGACUUCUGAUGAAUCUCAGCACGAGAGGCAAAAAGUAAUUUUAACUAUUCAGAGGCCUCACUCAGGUUUCUCAUUCCUUAAGCAGAGCCAGCCCUGAAGAAAUUUUUCACCAUCUUUUAAAUAGGCAUAACACAUCCUUACAGUGGAUGAAGGAAAAGUUGGCUCUGCACAGAGGAACCUCAGCAUGGAAAGAGAACCAGCUGACCAAAUCAGCAAUUUAGAAAUUCAUGUGAAGAUGGGAGGGAGACCUUGAUCAGCCUUCAGGGGUACCAUGCAGAAAGCUGCUGGAGCUGACAAUGGAUGCCACAGCUGGAUGCCAAGGCAGCAGUCUGCCAUUACUGCCAGAGGGGACUUCUCUGGGCAGCAGGAGGGCAGAGAUGGUUUGCCCACAAGAAGUAGAACUAUGGCAGGCUGUUUGUCCCCUGCUAGGUGUAUGAGCAGCAGAUAACCCAGUAAUUACUGAGCUGAUGGGAACAGAAGUGCCAGCCCUGACUCCCUGGUGUACAUCUGCAGGCUUUUGGCACUUUUUGACUCUGAUUCCUUCCCAAACCUGAGGAGGCUGCAGGCUUAGGCAGUAACACCUAAGUCCUUCCCCUUGGGAGGAAGACUGUGGCAUGUCCCACAUGCCCCUUGGCACCCUUGCCUGAUUGCAGCUAAGUUCUCACCUGCUGUAAAGACCUUUUCACAAAAGGCAAGGGCAGUCCCUGGGCUGUGUAGUUUCCCAUCAGACAUCGAAUGGAAGGACCCAGCACCUCAAAUACCAGGCAAGAAUGUGGGAAGGAGUUAGGGAUUCACUAACAGGGAAAGGUGUUACCACCAACCCUCUGCCUUUCACCAGAGCAACCAAAUACCUCCUGAUUCAGCCUCUCCCCUCCAGCCAUGCCCAUGUGCCCUGGUCCAGCUGCAGCCCUGCUCAUCCUCCUCAUGGCAGCACAGCACUCAGGUUUACACCAUCCUUUCUGGCCCAGAAAAGCACUCUCCUCUGAAGGAUAUGGAAACCAUUCUCUCCAAUCAUUCUGAAGUCGUCUAACAAAGAGACGAUGUUUUCUCCUGCCAGGUCCUUCUUCUUCAUGCAGCUUACCUGAGGGGGAGGAUUCCAAGAAAGCUGCAAUCAGAGACAUAUAUGUGCACAAGGACACUUUGCACCUGUUUUAUCCUGUCUGACAGACUUUCUCUUCUGGCACUUUGUGACAAAUCCCAUGAAAACAACAUCAGGAAUACCAGCAGUGAGUUUCUAUAUGUUUUGUCUUGCUCUUGACGAGGUGGGACCAUCACACCCUCAGCGUCAAAACAACUCACACCAAUCCUGCUGAUAGUAUCUAGCACAUUUCCUGCUGCUUUUCUCUCCAGGCAGACCCAGAAAGUGCUCCUGCUUGUGCUGGAAGGGGAUUUCCCCAAGAAGACAGCUCCCUGCUCCCAGCAUCAGUGACUGUCCAUUUCCUUUGCCUCACACCAGCCCUUUGGCAAUUAACUCAAGGGGUUGCAGAGAGGCAGAGGCAUUAUGGCUGCCUUUGGCCACUCAAAUGCUACUUGUCUUAUCAGGGUAGAGAGCAGCUUCCACAUCUGGAAGAACUCAGUGAAGGGGGCUUCUUUGUGCUGGAAAAGGGUUGGCUGUGGGCAAGUGAUCUAUGGGAUACGGAGGGGUGGUGGAGGAGGUGAACACACCCUUUGUGCUAGAGCCAGGGGUCUUCAAACACAGUGUGUAGUAGGUCCAAAAACACCAGAGAUGGUUCUUCACAGAGCACAUGUGUGACUGGGGACUGUUCCUGUUACAGGGGGCUGUGGUUACUGAAUCUCACAGGGACUUGUAAGGGUUCAAGAUAAAUCCACUAAGAAUUCAUGCCCACACAGGCAUCGUCCUUGGCCCAAGAAAUCUGCGGCUGGAAACUGCAACAGGCCAGGGGAGCAUUCAGGGGGAGCAGCACCCUGUGCUCAGCUUGUCCUUACACCCACCUGGACAUGUGCUGUUGGCCCAGGGUCCUGUGCUGAGGGAACGUCCAGGCACAGGUGCUACAGCACCCCCAGCACCACAGACCUGUGUGACAAGGAGCACCAGGGGUUUGCUCUCCCAGAGCACUUAUUCUGGUACAGCAAUUCAUGCUGUUUUUUUCUCUCUUCAUGGCCACAGCUGCUAGGGUUUUGGUUUGGUUCAUUUUGCAGAUACCAGAUCCACCUGCACCAGUGCCAGAAGGUUUGUUCUGGCACAACACAAGAGAGCAGCCCUGAAAGCAGAGACCAGAUCAUCUCUUCUGGCAGCUCUGCAGGCACUAAGCCCCGGUGCUGGUGGGAACAAGCCUUGGGAAACAGCUGUGUGCUGCUGAAUGGGCAGGCAUGUCUCUCAGAAUUAAUAAUGAAUCAGGGGUAAGGCUCACUCUCUGCACAGGGUUGUGCUGAUGUGUGGAAAAGCAGCCCUCUGAUUACAUUAAAUUAGUGCCACUUGGUACUUCCUCUUGCAUCACUGCAUCUGGCUCAUCUCCCUUUAGAUAGGGCCUACAGAUUUACAGGUGUUAACUAAACCUUUCUCAAACCUGUUGGAGAAAGGCCACAGAGUAAUUUAAAAUGCAGAAUUUAAUAGCUUUUACUCAUCUGAAGCUGAUGUAACUUUGUAUUUGAACAAACUUGAAGAAUUGUAACCACAAGCUUUCUAGAACUAGCAGUUCCAGACAACUUCAAAGGCAACUUGCUACAACCCAGAUACAGGCACCUAAUUAUCACCUCCAUUAGCAGAGGCCAGAAGAAGCUUUCUGACUUCAGAUGUUCAUUGUGUUUGGGUAUGUCAUAUAUUUUUCUAUUGCAGAUAGUUCCUUUUACUUCAGUAUCAGUGUUCUGAUACAGCAAUGUCCUGAGUGAUGUUCCUCUGUAAAUUAUACAGGUACAGUAGACAUGUUCCUAUCUCCUGCUUAAGAGCAUUACCACCUUCUUCUGUUGAUUAUCCACCUUAUCAUUCUGCAGAUUCCUCCUUUUUACUGGAUUUCAGUCUCAGCUUAAAGAAAAGUGGGACAUGUCUCAGUGUGAUGCAGGAAGGAGAAAAUGCCUGUUUCAGAGUCCAGUCCUGAGCUAGGCUGAUUUCUAUGAAUUCCCCAGCUUUCAGGUUGGUUUUUUUUUUUUCCUAUUCCCCACCUAGCUCCGUGGACUGAGAGCAGGCAGAGGGGAUGAUGAGGCUGAUACUCAAACCUGAACUCAGUGGCCAUCUGCUGGAGCAAAGCACAGACCCACAGGAUAUACUCACACAGCGGAGGAAAGCCACCUCAUCCUGGGCAGUGUCAGCAAAGCCUUCCCUGCUUUUCAGAACCUUCACAGCUACCUGCUUCUUCCUCCUGGAAAACGAGCCACAGCUGUCAGCCAGUGCACGUCAGUGGCCCUGACCAGCAGUACUUCCCUUUCUCCCAGUCAGCCAGCCCUGGGCUCCCCAGGGAAGGUGCUGCCCUUCUGCAGGCACCCUUGGCUUGGUUUGCAGCACACCAGGCCCAUGGGCAUCCCUCCUGCUGGCAUCUGGCAGCACAACUUCCCCAGGGACCAGCAAGGGACUGGAGAGAAAAAGAACAUGGAUACUGCAGGGUCUAAACAAGAAAAGAAAAUGCAGAGCGAGGGCUGAUCCCACUUCAUUUAUAUUCUUUGAUUUCUGGGGACCAGCUCUGCUCGUUGCACCCCACUGAUCUUGCUGUCAGGUUUUCCCUGUGUUCAGGGGUGCCUGGCAUGCUCCCAGACUGUGCUCUGCUGUUCCUGCAAGAGGGGCCAGCCCUGCCAGGACAUCAGCCACCCCUUCCCACCUCCCUGAAUGGCACUCAGCCCCUCACCUCAUGUCCUGGCACAGCCAGACAGUGGCAAAGGUGCCACAUCCCAGCUUGUGCAGCACCUGGUAUCGCGUGUUGAGCACCUCUCCCUCCUGCACGGGCUGGUGGCCUCCUGUGGAAAACCAUCACCAAGAGAUAUUAAUGACAUCUCUAAAUGCUCUCAGACUGAACGAGCAGCUGAGGACAGCCUGACAGGUCCCAGUGGCCUCCUCUAGCCUGGGAAGAGCCUGGCAUGAUCUCAUCUCUGGAGCCUCAUGGCCAAGGACUGACCUGUGUGCUGGGCUGAUGGCAUCUCCUGCUGCACCUGCUCCUCCAUGGCCCCGGAGCAUGGCAGAUCCUGGCACAAGGGGAUGGAGGCAGUGGGACACCGAGCUGUGGGAGCUUCAGCACUUCAUUCCUUUCAAGAGAGAUGGAGAGCUGCAGGGUGGCCAUGCCUCUGCUGUACCCUCACCCCUUUCCUUCCCAUUCCCUUCUGCAGCUCUUGGAGUCAGGCUGUUACACUUUUAGCACUUCAGGGAGACAGGGAUUAUUUUAAGAGUUCAGAAGAGGAAAGCUGGCAGGCUGGUCCCAGGCCAGGGCCAGGUGGGAGUCUCAGGUUUCCUAGUGUGUAUUUUCAGGGGCUUAGCGGGGUCUGUGGGAUCCCCUCCCACAGCCAGGGGAAGCACCUCCUCCCUACCCCCAUCCUGGCUGAGGAGGGAAUUUGGGCUUUGGCUGGCAGGAGAAGGCUCCUGCUCCAGAGGGGUGUGAAACAGAACCUGCAUUCUAAACACUACAGUGCUGCUCCUCUCCCACAGUCCAGCCCUGGGGCUGGAGCACGGGUUUGUCACUGACAAUCGUGUGACAUCCCAGCAAGGCCACAGGACAUCCUGGCAAGGGGCUGCUCAUGGGGUUUGUUACUAUGACAGUCCAAAGCAUAAACACCAAGACAGCCCAGACAGACUGAUCCAACUGCUGUCCCCCAGUGCUGCAGCACUGAGGUAGGACUGGAUUCAGUACUGGUCACCUGAAAUAGCAGCCCAGAGCUCCUGUUGCUAAUGAAAUACAGAUUGAAGCCACAGUAGCUGGGGCACUCCCAACCCAGCCUUUUAUAAUUUCCAAAUGUCACUUGCAGUACAGCUGAAGCUUCAGGCUAACACACACUGUCAGAGCUCGAGACAGGUGAUAGUAAUGCCCAAGGGCAUUAGCACAGGUAGAAAUAUUGAACUUUAAAUCCUCCAAAUCAGGUCACUAAAGCUCAGAACUCAUCUGAACCAGAAGAUUUUCAGAAAUAGUUAUAGAGGGCUGGCAGUGCUGGUGGCAGGGAGUUGUUCUGGAGCUGUAACAUCUUCCAGCUGCUGAGACAGAGAACCUGUUUUGACUCAAUGUUUUGACUUCCUCAAAACAUUGAAGUUUCUUUCCAUGCGCUGAUGUUCCUCUCCCAGCACAGCAGCCAGAGGCACAGCUUGCCUUUGGGCACCCAGCAGGCUCCCAACACAGUUCCAGUCAAGGGUCAGACUGAACUCAAGACUUUCACCCUGUCAAGGAAAACCCAAAGUACCAGAGAUGAUGUUACUCUGUUCACCCAUGCCUGCACAGAAGUCUGAAAGGAGCUCAAAAUGCCUCCCCCUCUACACAUUUCUACACCUCUUACCCUUGCAUUUAUGCUGUUCAGAAUCAGUCUAUUUGAUAUAAACCCCCUGGAUGCUGCAUGUCUGCAUGGCCACUCUUUACAGUAAAUGUACCCUGACAUGCCACCUAUGAAACAAAACUGAAAUAAAAAAUUUCCUUAUUUGUGCACAGACUAAGCUUAUCAGUACCCUCACACACUCCUGCACCACCAGCAUCUGCCUGAGCCUUCUUCACCCACAUCAUGAGGACAGCAGGGCCUGAGCUGAGAGCAAGCAAGCUUUAGUCAUGCAGCUUACCAUUCACCUGCCAAAGGAAAACUCAGUGUGUGGAGAUGGGAGCUCAACAGCUUCUUCCCUUGGUGUUCUGGUGAUAGGAGGCUUCAGUGAGAACAUAGGACCCAGAGGCAGACCCAAAGUGUAAGACUCAGCCCUAGGGUGGAUGGGGCUUUUGGGCAGUUCAGGCCCUGGUGGCCUUGUUGCUGCAGAGGCAAGCCAAGUCUAUCCUUAGGCAUGCAAGAUUUACCUCCAUCCACCCUCUCUGGAUGGAAGCGCUGGCAAAAGAUGAAGAGUGUUGCUAUGCAACUUGGUACAGGAAAGUGAAAUGCACUUUUCUAAGCUUUGUGAUAAAGGACAAUUGGUGCUUUAAAUCCUUCAUUUCUUGAUACUUUCACAUUAAAUACAACUUAUUUUUCUUUUGUCAUUCCAACUAUUUUGUGCAGAACCCACUGAAUUGCUGCAGGCCUGGACUAGCUCAGAGAAUUUCAGCCAAAGAACUGCUCCUGCCUGGUUUGUGAGAGCCAUGGACGAGGAGUGAUGAUUCACAUGUGGCCUGGAGUCCUCCACCCAGCCUGCAUGAACAGUGUACAGAGCCUUAUGACACCUGGACCUUUGGAGUGGCAGAACAGACCAAUACACACUUUCAGCUCCUGCACCACAGACCUACAAGCCCAGGCUGAGCACAGCACCCCUGCAAGCCACAGCACACAGCAGACAAGCAGCCCCGGCGAGGCUCUGAGCCCCAGGGCCCAGCACAGACUCACCAUGCAGCAGCUCACGGGUAGGACAGGCCAUUCCCUCUGUCAUCUGGCUCGCUCUGGAGCUCCCCAAAGUGAGAUACCAGCUGGUCCUGCUCUGAUUUUAGUCUGCACUGUCCCAGGAGGGAUGGCCUUGAGCCCACCGAACUUCUGCAUCACUGGAUGGACGUGGUGAGGAGUAGGGCAGGGUAUCAGAUCACAGCACCACUUCUGGGAACAACCUUGGCUUUGGGAGAGCAGGAGACCUCAGACAGCUGCGGUGGAUUCACUUUACUGCUGGCCUCUCCCUGCCUCCCUGGCAGCAGGCCUGGCAGCCUGCAGUAGAUUCACAGUCUCCACAGCAACUAUUUAUAGCGGGAAAUUCACAGCUCUGCUGUGAUGGAAACAGAGAAGUCCUCCCCCUCUGCUCUGCCUUCUCCAGACCCAGAAACCGUGGGGCUGCCUGACUCUCCCCCUGCUCCCAGCAGUGUCAGCAGGACCUGCCCUGUGGCACCAUCUUCUGCCUGGCAGAGCCAUCCCUGUUCCCAGACCAGCCCGUGUGCCACACUGCCAGACCUGAGGAACCCCAGCCUCUCCAGCAGCGCCUGCACACAGUCCAACACCACCACAGCAUGGUGCUGGUGGCCACAGAGCCCAUGCUGCCCCUGUUCCUGUCUCUUGGAGAGCAAGCACAGCAGCAUCCUCCCACAGCCCUGGGGGGACACGAGCAUCCCAGCACCACGCAACACAGGAGAGGAAAAGGCCACACACAGAGCACUGGUUUCUGCCUCACGCUGUUGGACAACAGUGACCAACAAUGACAAGAGUGAAGGUUCAGCAACCCUUACCCAGAGUGAGAGACCACAGCCAGAGCUGCCAUGCACCACGGGGCCCCAGUGCCAGCCAAGACGAGUGUCUGUGCAGGGAGGCUGCCUGCUCCCGUGGGCAGGGAUGGUAUUUGAGCUCUGGAAAUGCAGAGGGAUGCAGGUGGAACUGGCACAAGGUUAUCUUGAAGAAACACAGCCUAGGGAGGAGGGAGAAGCCUCGCUCCUCACACAGCUUCGGGGUCCUGGUGCUUCGGAGUACACUUUCCACUUAGCAAGAAAAAGAAGUAAAUACAUUCUGUGUAAUUGCAUCAUCAUGCAAUACCAGCAUGACACAGAGGUUGUAUAUUAAAAUUUAUUGAAUUAUUGUGUAAGAAUUCUCUUUAUUAAAAUCAUUUUGACUCUAAACUGAUUAUUUACAGACAAAACCUCUUAUAUCACCAAUAGAUUCCUACAUCUCAGAACAGUAUCUACAAACAGUUAUUACACUAUGUAACAAAAUUCAGAUUUUUUUUUCAAGCUUUUUAUAUUAAUUAUUAAUUCAAACUUGAGAAAGACAGUACCUUGGGUGCUCUGAGCAGAACCUAAGGUGUGGCAGGGCAUAAAUGCAGGUCAGGCCAUACCAUAACAGACAGACAGACACCAAGUCACAAGGCUGGGAGAGAGCAGAGUCACCACGACACAGACCAGGAAAAAGACUACAAGAGCAAAUGCCCUGGGUGUUCUGGAAACCAAAAUAACCAUCCCCACAAGAAAGGCACACAUUAAAAAAAAAAAAAAAAAGGAAAAAAAAAAGCAAAAAAAAGCAUCUUGCUGCAACCAGGGCACGCCCUGAAAAAGAUGGCAUUCCACCAAGGCAGCAGCAUCCAAGAACCCUCUAUUCUCUAUUUUCAUUAAAAAAAACCAGCCAUAAUUUCUACCAAAACAAAAAAAAAUUGCCACCAGACAGAUGAAAGCAAGAGCUCUCACAUCUACAUCACGUGGGUGCCAGCUGUGCUUCAUCGUGCCAAAGGGAGACACAUUCAAAUACACUAACGGAGAUUUAUCUUAACACUGAUCAGUCCUCAGCCUUUCACCCAGACCACGGCGAAAGCAAGUCCCUCCCUCUGACCAUAGCAGUGACAUCCCCGUGUCCCACAGCAGGCUGCGGUAGCAGGGCUCUCUCUGCUGGUGCCCACUGAACUUGCUACCUGUGAGCAAACAGGAACAUGCAGACAGGAUUCUCUGUCCUUGACGAGGAAUGUCCGGUUGGUUGUGGAAUCAGGCAGAGACUGGGAAAAACUUGGAAGGAUCAAGAGGAAUAAAUAAAUAAGUUUUCCCCGCAAAAGGGAAUUUCACAAUAAAACUGUUUUGUGCAAAUUUAAAUGCAACAGAAGCCUGCCACAGAAACGGAUUUUGCCACAGGAGAGGGGCACGGACGGAGAUAAGAGGGGCCACGCCUAAACAGCCAAGCUGAUCCCAGGAGGGCCUCGGUGUGUGUCCACAGGGAGGAGGAUGCUGGUAUCCAGAACACCGAGGAAGAUGGAUGGGAGGAGAUGGGCACUACCAGCUGUCCACCCUCACUGCACCUGCACUGGGCAGUGUGUCCUGUGCAGCCAGCAAGGACAAACUGAAGAUGUUAAAUAGGUCAUAAACCUCUGUUUAGCUCUAUUUUUAAGUCUUGAUUAUCAAUCUAACAAAAACAGACUUUCACAGAUACACUCGGAAAAAGCAGACGAUUUCCAACAUCCAGGAACAGCACUGAGAAGCAGGGAGAAUGUGGAUACCAGUGGGAGGUGGAAUGAGAAUUAAGCCUCAAGCCACUCUGUUCUGGGAAAGUGCAGAGAUAAUUCUGCAAAAAUAGGGGUAGACACUGACAGUCUGUAGAGCCAGAAAUCCAGGGAAUUUUCUGUGGCUUCUGGCAGACACUGAGCAAGCUGGAGAGGCCACAAACCAGGCCUUGUUUCCUAGGGUAGAAAGUCCAUCCACCAACACACAAGGGGACAAUUCUACUCCACCACUACACCUGCACUUGCCUCAAACCAAGGAAUCUCCUCCUGCAGUCUCUCAAGAAAUGGGCUUUGCUAACAUGCAUUGUAUUGGCUUUUUCCCAUCCAGCACUCUGCUCGGGUUUUUGGGAUGACCAAUUUAAUCAGAUUUAGUCAAGACAAAGGUUUCAGAGAUGCUGAGUUCCCAUAAGUUUUGUGGAAAUGGGUGGUCAGGCAGGAGUGAGACCCUAACUGGUCCUCAUGUGGGGAAAGAGGCAAACUCUGCAGCCCCAUUUUUGCCUGGCAGCAGCCAGCCAGCCACCCUGCUGCUCUCUCUGUACAGCAGGAUAGGAGCAGAAGGUUGCACAGGGAUGCUCAUACUCUGGGCACACCAUGUACCUGGGAAUACUGCUAGACUGCUGAGAGAGGGUCACAGAGGAGAAGAGAGGCCAGCAUUAACCUGCUGCAAGGACAAUUCUGCACCUACAUAGCACUUGCACAAAGCCUGAUGGAGCAGGCCUGGAAUUACUGCUAUUUGCAAUGUAAAGAGAGGUAGGGAUGUCAUCCU